UUACCAGAGGUGAGGAAACCCUAGCCUCCACUCAAUUUAUGAGACCCCAAACCCAGUUCUUCCCCAUCACCGAACCACCACCAGAAAUCAUUCCUAAUAUCCCCCUUCUCCUCUCAAAAUCCAUUUAUUGUGCUAGUCGAAGAUCACAGUCGUGCCCUCGCCGGAACAUUAGAUUCUGUUCUAUGGUUGGUUGUGGGACUUGAAGGACCGCUCUAGGUUGCUUGGAGUAUUUAGUAGAUCUUAGCUAUCUUGGUCAUUUGUGUUAUUUGGUUUUCUUAUUUAUUUUGCUUUGAUUUAGAGUCUUUCAUCUAGAAUAAAUAUUAGUAAUAUUUUGGAACUUUGGGACUCAUACUAUCUUGGGUUAUUUGUUGAUGAUGAUGACUUAUGGAAUUUUUAUGAUGUUAAUUUUUGAGGAUUGAGCUUA